GGAGAGAUAGCUAUUGGUAAAGCACAUCGUCUGCUAAACGAUCGAGGUUUAAUCCCCUCUGUGGGUUCGAUUCCCAUUCUCUCCG
rnacentral:tRNA from 2 species